rnacentral:rRNA from 1 species
AGGCCUAACACAUGCAAGUCGAACGGUAACAGGAAACAGCUUGCUGUUUCGCUGACGAGUGGCGGACGGGUGAGUAAUGUCUGGGAAACUGCCUGAUGGAGGGGGAUAACUACUGGAAACGGUAGCUAAUACCGCAUAACGUCGCAAGACCAAAGAGGGGGACCUUCGGGCCUCUUGCCAUCGGAUGUGCCCAGAUGGGAUUAGCUAGUAGGUGGGGUAACGGCUCACCUAGGCGACGAUCCCUAGCUGGUCUGAGAGGAUGACCAGCCACACUGGAACUGAGACACGGUC